GAUGAACGCUAGCGGCAGGCUUAACACAUGCAAGUCGAGGGGUAUAGUUCUUCGGAACUAGAGACCGGCGCACGGGUGCGUAACGCGUAUGCAAUCUACCUUUCACAGAGGGAUAGCCCAGAGAAAUUUGGACUAAUACCUCAUAGUAUUAUAGAAUGGCAUCAUUUUAUAAUUAAAGUCACAACGGUGAAAGAUGAGCAUGCGUCCCAUUAGCUAGAUGGUAAGGUAACGGCUUACCAUGGCUACGAUGGGUAGGGGUCCUGAGAGGGAGAUCCCCCACACUGGUACUGAGACACGG
rnacentral:rRNA from 1 species